ACAGAGGUCUCAAGCGUUGUUCGGAUUCAUUGGGCGUAAAGGGCGCGUAGGUGGCGGGACAAGCGUGCGGUGAAAGCCUGGGGCUCAACCCCGGGUCGGCCGUGCGAACUGUUUUGCUUGAGCACUGUAGAGGCAGGCGGAAUUCCGGGUGUAGCGGUGGAAUGCGUAGAGAUCCGGAAGAACACCAGUGGCGAAGGCGGUCUGCUGGGCGGUGGGACCGAAAGGUCUCUUGAACCGACACUGAGGCGCGACAGCGUGGGGAGCAAACAGGA
rnacentral:rRNA from 1 species